rnacentral:rRNA from 1 species
AUGUUGCUGAGCGCAUCGACGUGCACAGCGGAGUGGGAGCAAGGGGAGCACUUGUUCAAGAUCUCCAAUUACAGCAUUCACAGGGGCAUGGGCGUCGGCUGCUACAUCGAGUCGUCAUGGUUCACUGUUGGCGGCCAUGAGUGGUGCCUCCACUAUUACCCGGACGGGUGUAUGGAAGAUGGCAAGGACGACAUAGUGGUCGCUCUGGAGCUGAAGGAGCUGGACCACAUGGCAUUGACGGCGCGGGUAUCCUCCACAAUCAGCUUGUUCCACUGGACAACCAAGCAGUUUUCUUCGUCGGUGGCCGCCUUGUCGGCCAAUCUUCCCAAUCCAGACUACUUUGUCACUCACAAGUUAAACAGGGGCGAGAUGGAAGCAUCAAGCUAUGUUGUUGACGAUCGUCUCACUAUCAAAUGCGCCUUGACCGUCAUCAAGGAACCAUAUGUUAUCGAGGAGGAGGCCCAUAUUGAGGAGGAGGAGGCGUCACCGACGUCGGAAAUCACGGACCAACUCGGGAAGCUACUAGAGGCAAAGGAGGGCGUGGAUGUGACAUUCGAGGUUCAAGGAGAGAAAUUUCCAGCACACAAGCUCGUGCUAGCGAUGCGGUCUCCGGUUUUCAAGGUGAUGCUCUAUGGGCCGAUGAUGGAGAAGGAUUCAAGCCGCAUCGUCAUUAACAACAUGCAACCUCUUGUCUUCAAGUUUCUUCUCCACUUCAUCUAUAACAAUUUGUUGCCUGUCAUGGGCGAUGAUGACUUGCUGGAUGGAGACGAUAAGAAAGAGGUGACCAGGCACCUGCUGAUGGCUGCGGACCGGUAUGGCAUGGAAAGAUUGAAGCUUAUGUGUGAAAGCAUCCUCUGCAAAGACCUCGAUGCCGAGUCCCUUGCAACUACAUUGGCUUUGGCCAAUCAACAUAUUUGUUCUCGGAUACAAGAUGCUUGCAUUCGAUUUAUUGCAUCAUCAUCAUCUACUAAAAUAGAUGAUGUGGUGGCAAGCAGAGGGUACAAUCGGCUCAAAAGAACUUGUCCGGAUACUGUAAUGGAGAUGUGGGAAAAAGCAACUAGGCUUCGCAAAACCUAG